ACGGGAGGCAGCAGUCGGGAAUUUUGCGCAAUGGAGGAAACUCUGACGCAGUGACGCCGCGUGCAGGAAGAAGGUUUUCGGAUUGUAAACUGCUUUAGACAGGGAAGAAACAAGACAGUACCUGUAGAAUAAGCUCCGGCUAACUACGUGCCAGCAGCCGCGGUAAUACGUAGGGAGCAAGCGUUAUCCGGAUUUACUGGGUGUAAAGGGAGCGUAGACGGUUUGGCAAGUCUGAAGUGAAAUGCGGGGGCUCAACUCCUGAACUGCUUUGGAAACUGUCGAACUAGAGUGCAGGAGAGGUAAGUGGAAUUCCUAGUGUAGCGGUGAAAUGCGUAGAUAUUAGGAGGAACACCAGUGGCGAAGGCGGCUUACUGGACUGUAACUGACGUUGAGGCUCGAAAGCGUGGGGAGCAAACAGGAUUAGAUACCCUGGUA
rnacentral:rRNA from 1 species